GUGAAGGCAUUUAAAGUAGGCAAGUUCUUAAAGCUGUUUUCUACUCUAGAGGAGGGGAGGAGAAGAGCUGCAGGUAGGCAUGCAUGCAUGCAUGCUUUCUCUCCCAGGUGCCACACACUUUUUCCAAAGCAUUUUAAGGAGGCUUCCCACUUCCAGAGAUCCUUCAUCUGCAAUAUGAAAAUGCAAUCCCAACACCAUGGAAAGGUAGUGCCAAUAGUACAAAACUUUGGACAUAUCAUGAAAAAUCAUCAGCCACUAGAAAAGACAAUGACAUUUGGUAAGGUAGAAGGCAGUAGGAAAAGAGGAAGACUCAUUAAACUCAAAACUCAAAAAAGGAAGCCAUCGCUCUGAGCCUUCAAGACCUGAGCAGAGCUGUUGAUUACAGCAAUUUAGAGGUCUCUCAUUUGUAGGGUUACUAUAAGUUGGAGUCAACUUGGUGGAAGUUAACAACAAAAUGUACAGAUGAAAGACCCUGCCAAGAGGACUGAAUCCCAAAGAGUGUUAACCAACAGCAGAGCUAAUCAUACCAUCAGUUAUAGCUGCCUUAGCAAGCACUUGCUGAAAUAGAAGAGGUG
rnacentral:lncRNA from 11 species